UAGUAUGCUGUAUUUAUGUUGUUGCUGAUUGGAGAACCUAACGGUGCUACAACUGACCCCAGUCUCCUCUAUCGAUAUCGGUAUCGGUUUCAGUAUCGGUAUCGGAAUGCUAGCCCUGGUAUCGCUGGGUAUCGAAUCGACAAGUAAUUCAGUGUUUCCUGGUUACCGUUUCCAAUGAAGCGCGAAUGCGUGACGUCGCAGCAGAUGCACGCGGACUGGAAUUAACGUUAACUGUCCGAGCGCGCGAGAGACCGAGAGACAAUCCCGAGCAGGAAGGAUGCUCUGAAUGCACGGACUUUUCCCUCUGCUGAUGGAAAAACCUUUCGUGUAGCCUGCUCGAUGAUAAUGUGAAAUGCAAGAGCAGAGAUGACUGAUGUGGAGACUGUUGUCACUGACUUCGCUGCCACAGGAAGGACUGGCCGACGAAACGCCAUGCCAGAUAUUUUAGGUUCCAACGCAGGAACCGAAGCGGCAGACCUUCCAAACAAAUUAGCUGAUCUUGCUGUUGGAGAUGAUGCUGAGCAAGGAGGAGAAGGCUCAUCCUCCACUGACACGGCCAAGGACACUGCAGGGGGAAAGGACCAGGCAGAGGGAACAUAACUUAACCCAUUACAGCCUGAACCAAACUGAACAGCAAAGUUAACAGAGACAGCACCACAAACAAUCUCUCCUUUUGCCUCCAUGACCAAACUACUGUUAUGGUUGCAGUCUGUGCUAUGCAAGAUCAGCUUCACUGGAAGGUAUUACUCUGAUGUAGGCUGAUGGAGCAGCACACCCAGCUUCUCUUGGAAAUCCUUCUGUUUUGACAGAGUCAAUAAAUUACCCACCUUUGUGAUGUUCAUGUGGCACAAAGAAUAAUGGCUUCUGUAUGUCGUAGAGAGAACCAUAUGACAUUAUUUUCCUAGUUUAAAAAAGGACCACUUGGUUUAUUUUUUUUAAUUGUCACUAAACUAAAAGAAUGUCUAGUUUAUAUACAAAAAUAGCAUUCCAUUUGGUUAUGUAAGUAUAAUUUAAACCGUAAGAAUGUGGUUGGUCAUCUAUUAUGUGAUUUUUAUUUUCUAUGAAUAUAUAUUGUACACUUUUUCUGAGUGCUUUUUGUCAAAGUCAAAAUGAGUAAAUAUGGAACUGUCAUUUAUGUAUCUUGGCUUUUUAUUGUCCUUAUCAACGGCUGUUGAAUGUUACACUUCAUGUCAUUGUAUUGCAAGUACUGUAGGCAUCAAUUUUCACUGAUGUGGUGAUGACGACUUUAUUUUUUCCUCUGUGCUCUCAAAAGCAAAUCAAAAGAAAAUCCAUUCAUGAAGAUGGUACAUUCGAAUUAAUCUUUCAAUAUCAUUAUGCUUUGCAAAAUUAAAUGUAUUAUUUUAACCACAUUGUUGUCUGUUGCACCAAUGUACCAAAUGCUGGCAUUCUGUAAAAUAAACUCUGUACUUAGUUUUUGUGGCUGUUUCUGUAAAAGCUUUUGCUUCUUUCAUCCAAGAGAAUCAAUCGGUAUAGAUGUACUCCCAUUGUGAUUAUAAAACUGUUUUGUAUUUUUUUUUAGCUUAACCACACAAUCAUACAAGCAAAUCAGAUACAGUAUGUGAGAAUUGCCUAACAGGCUGUAAAAAUCUCCUCCCCCUAGAUAAUGUAUAAAUAAUGGUGUACAGCUGCACAGAUUAAACAGGUAAAGUCUGCUUCACCAUUUCUGUUCCCUUCAAAAUAAAAUAGCUUAAUAAUAAAAAAUGGAGGCUUUCAUCGGUACUUGGAAACUUAUCCAAGAUGAGAACUACCAUAAGUACCUGAGAGCAAUCGGUGCUGAGGAAGAAGUGAUUGCUGUUUCAGAUGUACUUAAACCAGUUGUUACAGUUUCCCAAGAAGAUGACAUUGUGGUCAUUAAAAUACAGAGCAGCAUUGGUACUGAAGAGCUCUCAUUCAAACUGGGUAGAGCUUUCUACCUUAAGAAAAUUGACUGCAGAUACUGCAAAGUUGUUGUAGAUCUGGAAGGAAACCAACUCAUACAGGUGGACAAGUGGGACAAUAAAGAAUCUACGUCUAUCUAUGAGGUCAAGGAUGGGAAACUGAUCAAGACAAUGACAUUUAAGGACAUCACAGCAGUGCAAACCUUUACGAGGGUGUAAAAGUUGGAUGACCUCCCAUCUAUUUUGCUAGGACCUUUUUUUUUUUUCAAUAGCAGACUGGAAACGUUUCUAAAAGAGGAAACACCUUCAAUAUCUUGCACUUCAUGUGUCCAAAUAUCCAUUAUAAACCAUUUGAAACAAUACUCAAUAAAGAAUUAUGUAAAAUAUGUUCUUCUCAUGCCAUUCAUUAAUUAAAAAUGCUAUUAGAUACACUUGUAUAAAUUACAGUGUUAGCAGAUGCUAUUACACAAUGUCACACUAGGAGACUGUGGUGGAGUUAGGAUAAUUCACUAUAACUGAAAAUCUAAAGACGUCUACUGAUGUGGAUGAGUAUAAAUCGUGCAACAUGUAGAUGACACAAAUGAACCAUCAUCAGCUCAGCAUCACCUGAAGAUCAUAUUAGAUUUAUUACAUAUAACGUCACAGUUUAUACAGGAUAAAACGUACAACAGGUGAAUUAAAUUAUUAAGUUACAGAAUUCAAAC